CCAAGUCAUUAUGAAUCUCGCAUUCUCGAAGACACGCACUGACGACAUCACGCACGUACGCACGCCCUGGCUGCUAGGAGACGCUAUUCCCUUUACCAGGCCCUCAUGCGCGCCAGCCAGCCAGGCCAAGGCCAGGGGAGCUCGAGACCGGCAACCUGGGCGAAGAACCGGAAGGAGGAAAAGGAACCGGAGGGAGGAAGAGUGAUGAGAAACAUCCACACUCUUAAUGUCUUGCCUCCUGUAAGUCGCCCGACACACAGCCCAACUUCCCUGGCAAACUUGCUUUUCAAACUCUCUUCUCCUUCUCAGUCAGGGGCUCAGGUUCUGUAGUGCUGCCAUGCUUUACUCCUCUGUCCCUCCCCUUAUCUAGUCUCCCGCAUUGACUUCAUAAGCCAGUUUUGAGUCCCUGCCUCUGGAGUGCCUGAUGAGACAAAACUGCUCCUCAUCCUGCAUCCCCGCUGCUACUUCCAGAACUCAGGGCUCGUGGUCUGGAGCCUGCACUGUUCCAUGAGCCUCCUGACCAACCUGGAAGCCUCUGUCUUUCCUCCCUCAGUGAGAUGCACUUACUUCUCCCUGGAGAAGCCCGAGGAAGCAGGAAUGCUGGAGAUGAGAGACCUUGUCCGCUCAGGGGCUUGUUCUUCGUCUCUUUGCAGGGCUGUUUUGGACUCAGUAUUCACCUAAGCACUCCAAAUUACCCAGCACACCCUGCCUGUGCAGCUCUGUGCUGCACCUUCACUCUAGUCACGGGUGUAGCAGUCAGCUCACCAAUUCCUCCUGCUUCCCUGGGACUCGCCGGCUUUUAGCACUGCAAGUCCCUCAGCAAACUGGGACUGUUGAUCACCCUACCUGGCAGCCAGUGAUAAGGUGAGGGCCACUCCUGGGAGGGAGGACACCUGUGGGGAAAAUUCUUGUGUUAUUUAUUUCUCCUUCGGGAUAGGGUGCCUGCAGUGCUUCAUGGGAGGGGGUGGGCUGAUGCUGCAAGCUCAGAAGUUUCAAGGGCAUCUAGGGAGACCAGAUAUUCAGAGACCUUCUCCUAGAUGUGCCUGUUCCAUGUAUCAGGGACAUAGGUUUUCCCAGCAGGACUUGUGUCAUUGGCAUGACAGACCUGCCUUGGCUGAGCGUUCAGCUGUCUUUGGAGUUCAGCCACCUUAGCAAGUCCUGGGUUUGUUCUUCAGACUUUGCUGCUUGCCCAUUGCUUGGAUCGGGGGCUACUUUGUAAACCACCAGGAAGACUCCAGUGUUUCUGCUUAAUUUUUAGAUGUUUGUUAAUUGCCCUUGGCUUCUCAUUAAUCCCCGUGGGUCAUUCAGGAAACAUACCACUGUCUGUUCCCUGAGUUUUCAUUUCCAGGCAUCUGCCCUGCCUGGAUCUCCUCGCCUUCCAGGAACUUCCCCUUCACAAGCCAGCCAUCCCAGCAAAAGUUCUAACAUCAAAGGUCUAGCAACUAGCCUGCCAUCUUGUCCCUAGAGCCACCUGCGUGCCACCUAUCCCCGAAGAUGGGAACCUCGUUGCCAGUUGGGCAGAUGCAGGACAAUCCUGUACCAAGACCCCAUCUUACCACCUGUUUUCUCGGACCACUCUGGAACCCACUGUCUCAGAUUGGGUCCUCCAGGAAGCAGACUGUGAGAGGGAGUUGGCAGGACCAAAGGUUUACUGGGGCUAACUAACCCUCAGGAAAGGGACAGGAAGGAAGCAGGGCUGGAGAGCAGGUUGAGCCCGACCUGACAGUCUUGAGCAGCCCAGCAGGGAGGUGUGGAGCAAGGGUUGCCCACUAGAGGGGCCUGCAUUGGGCAUGGGUGGUGGGGUCCACAUGGUACCUGGCACACAGCAGGCUGUGCAAUCCAUAUUAACUGCCUGGAUGAAUUAAUGCCCAGGAAAGGUGCCCUGGAGAACGGGUAUGUGCUGAGCACAAUAGGGAAGGGCCCAGCAUCUGCCUUGGCAUAGGCAGAACUGUGCUGUGCCUUGCAACAGGCCACCCGAGAGCUGCUUUCAUCUCGUGUGUGCAUUAGACAACUGCCAGGGGCAUGAAGGGGAUGUGCUUCCAGGGCAUUUGCUGGUAGGGCGUCUCGUGAUCUCUUGGUAUUGGUGUGAGCACAGCCUGGCAGGAGAGGGCGGAUCUCAGUGCAAAGUAUCAUGUCAAAAAGCAGAUCGAAGCCAGGCCCCCUCCUGGAAGAGGCUCCUUGAAGGUAGGUGCACACUCAUGUCUUUGUUACUUGUAAGGGGGCAUCUUACAGGCAAGAGGAGUUAGGUGAAUGUGAAGAGGAAGGAACUGCUCACUCUGGGCAAGGGACUGGGGGAGGCUUCGUAGAGGAGUGGGUGUUUGAGCUGGGCCUUGAAGGUCGAAAGGGUUUUGUUAGGUGGGAAAUGGGGGAAGGACAGCCUGAAGGGGUUAGGUACCUUCAAGGAGCCCAGAGAAGUUGGUGGCUGGAGCAGACCCAUUCGUAGAGCGAAGUCGUGGGAGAAGAGGCUGGGAAACUAGAUUGGGUCCAACUCCUAAAGGUCCACUGAAGGAGUGUGGGUUGCACGCUGGGUGCCGCAGGUGAGUGUCCUCACUUGGGUUUCACUGUCAGCAUUUUUAAAAGGCGAACUGGUUCUCUUCCUGAGGAGAAUUCACUGAUUCACUGAUGCGGCCAGUAAGUCAUCUGACAAACCCUUGUGUACUUCUGAUGGGAUAGGAGUGUUUGUAGACAACAGUCACACAAAUAUGCAGCCCAGUGCAGCUCAGGAGCAGCGUUCCACGGAUAAGCCAUCGGUACCUACAGUGUGCUCCUGUCCUUGCUAAUCUGAACACAUGGGUAGUAACCUUAAGCGUGUCUCAAUCUUCUGACUUGUGAUGAGGUUUCCAAUUCUUGUUCCUGACUGUAGACUGAAGUUUGGAGAGAUGUCAUUAAGUCUCUAGGUUCUGAGGAUUACUGUGGGGUGGGCAGAGGGAGAAAAGGGUGUUGGGGCUAGAUGUUCCUGUGCUUCUACCAGAAAGUUGAUUUGCUCAGUGUACCACCCUCACUUGGCAGGCCUGAGCAGAGUGGCCUGCCACUCACAACCCAGAGAAAGAAGGUACAGUGCAGGCUUGCCCUGGCGGGCUCUUGGAUGCCCUAAGCUGCAGCAUCCACGCCAGGUGGGAUUUGGUAGGGUAGGCCCCCCAUCCACUGUGUCUGAUCAUACUGCCUUUGAAAGAGGAGGGUGAGUGAUUAAGACAAGACGACGAGAUAGGGUGGCCUCCGCAUGUUGGCAGCACCCAACUGGAACAUUUGCAAAUGAUACUUGGAGAAAGCUUUAGGAAAGAGGCCCACUUCAUUUAUGAAAUGACACUAGCUAAUGUUUGACCUUAGUCACAUGUUCCCUGAUUCCUCAUUUUGCCCUCUGCUGGCUGACUCGUGCAGCUUCAGUUUUAAUUAAAGGUGGGCUGUGAUGAGAGUCAUGAUCAGUGAGUGGCUUCCAUAGCAGAAAGUUCUGUGUAGUUCUUGGGGGAUGUGAGUUUAAGCAUGAGGUGCUAAGAUGAAUAUGUCCAUACAUUGUAUUCUAUUUCCUCUAUCCUUUCCCUCCUCUAACCAUUCCUGCCUUCUUCAUCUUUCUAACUUUCCCAAGGCAUUUUACAUCAGAUUUCAGAUAUAGAACAGUGGAUGUUAAAACAAACCCAAAUUCCUAAUGCUUGUUACCAUGAAAACAUGGCAACACCAUUCACAUUUUCUUUACAAAUGGCCUGUACGGGUCAGCCCAGGCAUUGAUAUAGGAGCCCAUUGUUUGCAUCCUCUGGGUCCUUGUAGUUCAUAUGCUGGAGCAAUGUAUAGAGGCGCACAAAAGGGCUGAGAAUGUGGCCAUGGUAUGUAACAAUGAGGCCCAGAGCCUGAGCUUUGGUGUCGAGCAAACCUAGGUUUGAAUGUUAGCUCUUUGUGUUCCUGUGUGACCUUGUUGGUUACUCAUGUCUCUGUGUCUCCCUCUCUUAUAAACCAGGAGGUACAAAUGCCACAGGGCUGUUGCUGGGACAUACACUUGCACCUUGUGUUCUCUCUUUCUGGGACUCGGGUUCUCAAGAUUUGCUUCUACAUUUACAGGUUGGAGAUUAUUCCAGCAACGCUGAGGAAACUUUUGUUUGUUUGUUUCUCAGCUUUGCAAAUUUCAGAGAUUUCUAACAGUGUUCGAGGGACUGUGAUGUGCUCUUGCAAAAAUCCCAUAUGUUUUUUGAAGAAUCUCAGUUGUGCUAUCUAGAAAAUGAAUCGGUUAAUCUAGAACAUGGUUUUCAAACCUAUGUGGCCAUGGAAUGUCAUUUUGGAGGGAUGCUU